UCUCCUGGAAAACGGGUGGUAAUGCCGGAUGCUCCAGUUGGAUGCAUGUCCUUCUGGGAAAGAUUCAUCGGUAUGGGAUGGGGUCGCGUCCUAUCAGCUUGAUGGCGGGGUAACGGCCCACCAUGGCUUCGACGGGUAGCCGGCCUGAGAGGGCGACCGGCCACAUUGGGACUGAGAUACGGCCCAGACUCCUACGGGAGGCAGCAGUGGGGAAUAUUGCACAAUGGGCGCAAGCCUGAUGCAGCGACGCCGCGUGCGGGAUGACGGCCUUCGGGUUGUAAACCGCUUUUGACUGGGAGCAAGCCCUUCGGGGUGAGUGUACCUUUCGAAUAAGCACCGGCUAACUACGUGCCAGCAGCCGCGGUAAUACGUAGGGUGCAAGCGUUAUCCGGAAUUAUUGGGCGUAAAGGGCUCGUAGGCGGUUCGUCGCGUCCGGUGUGAAAGUCCAUCGCUUAACGGUGGAUCCGCGCCGGGUACGGGCGGGCUUGAGUGCGGUAGGGGAGACUGGAAUUCCCGGUGUAACGGUGGAAUGUGUAGAUAUCGGGAAGAACACCA
rnacentral:rRNA from 1 species